UACGGGGGGAGCAAGCGUUGUUCGGAUUUACUGGGCGUAAAGGGCGCGUAGGCGGCCACCGCAAGUCGACUGUGAAAUCUCCGGGCUUAACCCGGAAACUGCCGUUGAUACUAUCUGUCUUGAAUAUCGUGGAGGUAAGCGGAAUAUGUCAUGUAGCGGUGAAAUGCUUAGAUAUGACAUAGAACACCCAUUGCGAAGGCAGCUUACUACACGAUCAUUGACGCUGAGGCACGAAAGCGUGGGGAGCAAACAGG
rnacentral:rRNA from 1 species